rnacentral:misc_RNA from 1 species
GAUGAAGAACGCAGCGAAAUGCGAUACGUAAUGUGAAUUGCAGAAUUCAGUGAAUCAUCGAAUCUUUGAACGCAUAUUGCGCUCUCUGGUAUUCCGGAGAGCAUGCUUGUUUGAGUAUCAGUAAACACCUCAACUUCCAUAUCUUUUUUGAAAUGGGAGUUGGACUUGAGUGAUCCCAACGCUUUUCCUCACCGAAAAGUGGCGGGUUACUUGAAAUGCAGGUGCAGCUGGACUUUUCUCUGAGCUAUAAGCAUAUCUAUUUAGUCUGCCUAAAAAACAGAUUAUUACCUUUGCUGCAGCUAACAUAAAGGAGAUUAGUUCUUGUGCUGACUGAUGCAGGAUUCACAAAGACGGCUUCGGCCGACUUUGUAAACUCGAUCUCAAAUCAAGUAAGACUACCCGAUGAAAUUAAGCAUAUCAAUAAGCGGAGGA